UACGUAGGGCGCAAGCGUUGUCCGGAAUUAUUGGGCGUAAAGAGCUCGUAGGCGGUCUGUCGCGUCUGCUGUGAAAACCCGAGGCUCAACCUCGGGCCUGCAGUGGGUACGGGCAGACUAGAGUGUGGUAGGGAGACUGGAAUUCCUGGUGUAGCGGUGGAAUGCGCAGAUAUCAGGAGGAACACCAUGGCGAAGGCAGGUCUCUGGGCCACAACAUGACGCUGAGGAGCG
rnacentral:rRNA from 1 species